GAAUCUUGGANAUGGGCGAAAAGCCUGGAUCCAGCAAUGCCGCGUGCGUGAAGAAGGCCUUCGGGUUGUAAAGCGCUUUUGUCUGGGAGCAAAUCCUUGUGGCUAAUACCCACCGGGGAUGAGAGUACCAGAAGAAUAAGGACCGGCUAACUACGUGCCAGCAGCCGCGGUAAUACGUAGGGUCCAAGCGUUAAUCGGAAUUACUGGGCGUAAAGCGUGCGCAGGUGGUUUGUUAAGCGCGAUGUGAAAUCCCCGAGCUCAACUUGGGAAUUGCAUUGCGAACUGACUGACUAGAGUACGGCAGAGGGGGGUGGAAUUCCACG
rnacentral:rRNA from 1 species